AUUGAACGCUGGCGGCAGGCCUAACACAUGCAAGUCGAGCGGAUGAAGGGAGCUUGCUCCUGGAUUCAGCGGCGGACGGGUGAGUAAUGCCUAGGAAUCUGCCUGGUAGUGGGGGAUAACGUCCGGAAACGGGCGCUAAUACCGCAUACGUCCUGAGGGCGAAAGUGGGGGAGCUUCGGACCUCACGCUCUCAGAUGAGCCUAGGUCGGAUUAGCUAGUUGGUGGGGUAAAGGCCUACCAAGGCGACGAUCCGUAACUGGUCUGAGAGGAUGAUCAGUCACACUGGAACUGAGACACGGUCCAGACUCCUACGGGAGGCAGCAGUGGGGAAUAUUGGACAAUGGGCGCAAGCCUGAUCCAGCCAUGCCGCGUGUGUGAAGAAGGUCUUCGGAUUGUAAAGCCCUUUUAGUUGGGAGGAAGAGCAGUAAGUUAAUACCUUGCUGUUUUGACGUUACCAAAAGAAUAAGCACCGGCUAACUUCGUG
rnacentral:rRNA from 1 species